CCUCAGCAUCUCUUCCUCCAUCGUCGUCGUUGAAGGCUUGUAGAUUGAUUUUACAUACUACUUGAUUAAUUUAGUUGAAUUGUUGAAUUAAUAACAAUAGUUCCAAUAUACAUCUCUCUCUCUCUCUCCACGCACAUCUCUUUCAGUUUAAUCGGUUGAAGAAGCUUACAUAAUCCUUUUCUUCUUUUCAUUGUUUUUGCAGUUUCGAGUUCGAUCAUGUCGAAGGACAAAGACUUUACCGAUUUGUCGCUCACCUUCAAACACCUCUUAGGCAUCUUAUGGCUCUGUGUUUUCCUCUGAAGAUUAUCAAAGAAGUGUUACUAAUGAGAGACGGCCCUUGAAAAAGCCAAGCAACUAGUAAGGAACUUAGAAACAAAGCUUGAUUCAGCUAAUGCUCAGCACCUUAAGGAGAAAGAAGAAUAGGGACUAAGCCUUAAAAAUGUAGAAAAAACGUGGCGAAGUAACAAACCUUGGCUGCCUGAUUAAAUUGUAGCUUAUACUUGUAUGAAUUUAAUUUUAGAAGGUUUAAUCUCAACUUAACUUUGCAGUCAAAUGUGUCUCAAUGAAGGCUGAAAACGAAGCAACUACUGCACAAGAUAUGAAAAAGGAGUUGCAAGAGCUCAAACUGCAAUAUAAAAAAUUGAAGGUUUAACAUGCUUCAUUUCAUGAUAUUGCUGAUAAAAUGAUUGAGGAGAAGGAUAAUAGGAAUCUUCGUCAAUCUCUUCAAUCAAGACCACAGGUUUUUGUUUUUAUGUUUUUUUUCCUUUCCUGCUUUUAGUAAAUCAUAUGAUUAUUGAGACAUAGAUCUGGUACUUAACAUUCACGUGAUCUUGCAUAUUUAUUCUACUGGUCCGACAAUGGUGUGCUAUAAUCUCAGAUUGACCACAGUGACAAUGAUAAUUAUAACACAGGUAUUAAUUCAUUUAUAUCCUGGCAAAAAUUGUUCUGCUUGCUGAGCGUUUUAAGUAUAUUUUCAUUGUUUCAAAUAUCUGGUGAUUUUCUAGUAUAACGUUUUCUGGAUUUAAAUAUUAUUUCAACUGUUCUGGACAGCCUCGCAUAAAGUGGAUUCAAUGAAUUUAAGCCCCUUUGUUGCAGAACAGCAAAUUCUGCUCCUAGCUAGACAACAAGCUCAAAGAAAAGAAGAACUAGCACGAUCACAACGCCAUAUCUUAGCUCUUCAAGUAUGUCUUAAAGCUUCUUGAGACAGGUGAAGUGGAAGUAUUGCUACCAGUUAUUGGGAUGCUUCUCCAGUUUAGUCCACAAGAGGAUCAAGGUCACACUCUUCAAAUUAAUUCCCUUUCAGCUGUGGAGGAACCCUUAGUUGCAAAAGCAAAAUGUGGAAAUUGGGAGAUAGACAAGAGGUUGUUGAAGAUAGGAGAAAGAAUAGCAUCUAGAUCUUGUGGAGAUUUGUAAUUUGUAGCAUUUUUUGCUGUUUGGAUUUGUAACAUGGUUUAUUAUUUUUUAGAAAAAUUUGUGUAUCAAUAUUUUGAGUUUAAUAAAAUAUCUCAUUUUAUAAUAA